rnacentral:rRNA from 1 species
GACGAACGCUGGCGGCGUGCUUAACACAUGCAAGUCGAGCGGUAAGGCCCUUUCGGGGGUACACGAGCGGCGAACGGGUGAGUAACACGUGGGUGACCUGCCCUCAGCUCUGGGAUAAGCCUGGGAAACUGGGUCUAAUACUGGAUAUGACUCACGGUGCAUGUCGUGGGGUGGAAAGCCUUGUGCGGCUGAGGAUGGGCCCGCGGCCUAUCAGCUUGUUGGUGGGGUGANGGCCUACCAAGGCGACGACGGGUAGCCGGCCUGAGAGGGCGACCGGCCACACUGGGACUGAGACACGGCCCAGACUCCUACGGGAGGCAGCAGUGGGGAAUCUUGCGCAAUGGGCGAAAGCCUGACGCAGCGACGCCGCGUGAGGGAUGACGGCCUGG